GGGGCUAUAGCUCAAUCGGCGGAGCGUACCUCUUAUAAGGGUAAGGUUAUGGGUUCGAGCCCCGUUAGCCCCA
rnacentral:tRNA from 1 species